CUCAUCAAUCUGCGUAUAAAUAACACGGUUUUACACUUUGCAAUGGCGUAUAAUGCAUACGCCAAAUGCCAAUUUUGCGUGCAUAUGAUACGCCAAUCCUCCCCAUUAAUAUCGGUGGAGAGCAGAUGCGUCCAAAUACCACGCAGCAUCUUCAGCGGCAGUGACGUCACCAGCUCGACUCGGUUCACCUGAUGCGCGUGCACCUUCAAACAGAAAGCUGCUAGAAUUAACAGGGAACUCAAUGCUGAUCUUGAAGAAGCUGCCAAGGAGGCUGAACAAGUCCUUCAGUGAUUCAGCUCUUCACACUGAGAGGGAAGACCAAAGGAAGGCCUGUCCUGGGAUGUGAUUUCGGCCGUAUUGUGCGUUUAUGGAGAAGACCCAAAGCUGCAAAGACAAAUGGAUUUCUCACAGAUUACUUAGUCCUUCUCCAUCAGCUCUCCACAGUAUCAGCCCUUCCAAAUGCUUCCACAUCUCUCUCAUGUAGCACAUCUGCUCUCUUCCAGUCUUAACAGGUCUACUUGUAUUAAUUUCUCCUCUACAGUCAACUACUUGCCACAAACUGGAGAGAAUGCUGUUCUGGGCACUAUGUUUAUCUUGGAAAAGUUUGACAUAUCAAUAAACAUUGGAAAAUGACUACAAAA